UGGACCAAUGAUGAUAGUUGGUGGCGUAUGAAUCACGGAUGAUGACUGUUACGUGUCUGAAACUCUGAGGUCCAA
ensembl:snoRNA